rnacentral:rRNA from 1 species
AGUGAACGCUGGCGGUAGGCCUAACACAUGCAAGUCGAACGGCAGCACAGUAAGAGCCUGCUCUUACGGGUGGCGAGUGGCGGACGGGUGAGGAAUACAUCGGAAUCUACUUUUUCGUGGGGGAUAACGUAGGGAAACUUACGCUAAUACCGCAUACGACCUACGGGUGAAAGCAGGGGAUCUUCGGACCUUGCGCGAUUGAAUGAGCCGAUGUCGGAUUAGCUAGUUGGCGGGGUAAAGGCCCACCAAGGCGACGAUCCGUAGCUGGUCUGAGAGGAUGAUCAGCCACACUGGAACUGAGACACGGUCCAGACUCCUACGGGAGGCAGCAGUGGGGAAUAUUGGACAAUGGGCGCAAGCCUGAUCCGGCCAUACCGCGUGGGUGAAGAAGGCCUUCGGGUUGUAAAGCCCUUUUGUUGGGAAAGAAAGGCAGCAGGUUAAUACCCCGCUGUUCUGACGGUACCCAAAGAAUAAGCACCGGCUAACUUCGUG